rnacentral:rRNA from 1 species
GAGUUUGAUCCUGGCUCAGGAUGAACGCUGGCGGCGUGCUUAACACAUGCAAGUCGAACGAAGCGGCUGCAGGGAUUCCCUUCGGGGAGGAACAGUAGCUGUCUGAGUGGCGGACGGGUGAGUAACGCGUGGGCAACCUGCCCCAUACCGGGGGAUAACAGCCGGAAACGGCUGCUAAUACCGCAUACGCCCAGGAGGCUGCAUAGCUUCCUGGGGAAAACUCCGGUGGUAUGGGAUGGGCCCGCGUCUGAUUAGCUCGUUGGCGGGGUAACGGCCCACCAAGGCGACGAUCAGUAGCCGGCCUGAGAGGGCGGCCGGCCACAUUGGGACUGAAACACGGCCCAGACUCCUGCGGGAGGCAGCAGUGGGGAAUAUUGCACAAUGGGGGAAACCCUGAUGCAGCGACGCCGCGUGAGCGAUGAAGUAUCUCGGUAUGUAAAGCUCUAUCAGCAGGGAAGAAAGUGACAGUACCUGACUAAGAAGCCCCGGCUAACUACGUGCCAGCAGCCGCGGUAAUACGUAGGGGGCAAGCGUUAUCCGGAUUCACUGGGCGUAAAGGGAGCGCAGGCGGCACGGCAAGUCUGGUGUGAAAACCCGGGGCUCAACCCCGGGACUGCAUUGGAAACUGCCGGGCUGGAGUGUCGGAGGGGUAAGCGGAAUUCCUAGU